GAGAUGUUGGGUUAAGUCCCGCAACGAGCGCAACCCUCGUUUUUAGUUGCCAGCAUUAAGUUGGGCACUCUAGAGAGACUGCCGGUGACAAACCGGAGGAAGGUGGGGAUGACGUCAAGUCCUCAUGGCCCUUACGGGUUGGGCUACACACGUGCUACAAUGGCGUCCACAGAGGGCAGCGAAGCCGCAAGGUCGAGCAAAUCCCAAAAAAGACGCCUCAGUUCGGAUUGGAGUCUGCAACUCGACUCCAUGAAGCUGGAAUCGCUAGUAAUCGCGGAUCAGCAUGCCGCGGUGAAUACGUUCCCGGGCCUUGUACACACCGCCCGUCACACCAUGGGAGUUGGUUCUACCCGACGACGCUGCGCUAACCUUCGGGGGGCAGGCGGCCACGGUAGGAUCAGCGACUGGGGUGAAGUCGUAACAAGGUAACCCUAGGGGAACCUGGGGUUGGAUCACCUCCUU
rnacentral:rRNA from 1 species